rnacentral:rRNA from 1 species
UGGAGAGUUUGAUCCUGGCUCAGAUUGAACGCUGGCGGCAUGCCUUACACAUGCAAGUCGAACGGUAACAGGUCUUCGGAUGCUGACGAGUGGCGAACGGGUGAGUAAUACAUCGGAACGUGCCCGAUCGUGGGGGAUAACGAAGCGAAAGCUUUGCUAAUACCGCAUACGAUCUACGGAUGAAAGCAGGGGACCGCAAGGCCUUGCGCGAACGGAGCGGCCGAUGGCAGAUUAGGUAGUUGGUGGGAUAAAAGCUUACCAAGCCGACGAUCUGUAGCUGGUCUGAGAGGACGACCAGCCACACUGGGACUGAGACACGGCCCAGACUCCUACGGGAGGCAGCAGUGGGGAAUUUUGGACAAUGGGCGAAAGCCUGAUCCAGCCAUGCCGCGUGCAGGAUGAAGGCCUUCGGGUUGUAAACUGCUUUUGUACGGAACGAAAAGACUCUGGUUAAUACCUGGGGUCCAUGACGGUACCGUAAGAAUAAGCACCGGCUAACUACGUGCCAGCAGCCGCGGUA